rnacentral:rRNA from 1 species
AACUUUUAACAAUGGAUCUCUUGGUUCUCGCAUCGAUAAAAACGUUACAAAGUGCGAUAACUAGUGUGAAUUGCAUAUUCGUGAAUCAUCGAGUCUUUGAACGCAGCUUGCACUCUAUGGAUCUUCUAUAGAGUACGCUUGCUUCAGUAUCAU